ensembl:lncRNA
AGGGGAGGGUCGAUGGAGUUUGCCUCCAGAAGGUCCUCGGGCCAGUCCAGAGUUUGCCGUCUGUCUGUGCCUACUUGGAGGUUGUAAUCGUAGCUCUUUUUUGUUGAAGGUUUACCGCUGACUAAUAUUCUGUGGAAAGUUCUGUGUUCAGGUCCUAGGGAUAUAACGAUUAGCAAAAUAAUAGGUCAGCGGCCUCAUAAAGCUUACUUGUCCAUUUCUCCUCCUGCACUCCUGAUGGAAGGUAGGAUUUAAAUGACAACACAGUAAGUGCCAUAAGGGAGGUAACUGCAGACCGUGAGUGCACGGUAGGGAAGGCAUCCCUGAGGUGCAGCAGGUUGAUUUGUCUCGCUACGUAUGAAUUCAUCCAUCCCUCCACCCGUGCAACAGAUGUUUGCUAAGCAUCUACUCUGUGCUACACACGGCUCUGGGUACCCGGCUUCCAUCUACAACAGCAAACAAGGCAGAUGAAUCCCUGCCUUCACGGAACCAACUUUCUGGGAAGGACGAGUGGACAAUUAACAAGUGGGGAAACUGAGGCAAGGAGCAGGGCGAUCACACCUGCCCCAGGCUGGAAAGCCGGAGAUCUGGGUCAAACUCAGGCUGUCUGAUCCAGAAAACCAUGCUCCCCUACUGGUCUUCAUACUUCGUCCUAGCAUGGCCGGCCUGCUAUCAACACCCGGGUUCCCCAGCGCCUCACUGUAAGGAACCUCAAGGGACUGCCAGUGGCCCCCUUUGACAGAUGGGAAGCUGAGGCUCCGAGGUGAUGAGGAGCCGGGAGCAGCAAGGGAGCUUUUCCCUGAAGUGCUCAGAGCAGCUGAUUGAAGAGGAUCCUUGUGGAGAAAACUCCUGCCUCUCUGGGACUCGACGCCCCACGUGACCUAGAACAGCCCACAGGCGUCAAGUCUCCCCGCGGCUCAGCCCCAGCUCCAAAGCCUUCUCCACUGUUCAUCCAACCUGCCCCUCCCCGGGCCCUGCAGCCAGAGGCCACGCAUCCAGGGUGGGAUGGGUGAUGCAGGGGACAGGGCCCAACUGUCCUCACCGUCUGCGCCUUCUGAGCAGAGUCCCCCAAGGA